UACUUCACCCGCGUGCGAGAUUGUUUGUGAAAAAUGUGAUCUCUUAUGUAUGGGAUGCUGCGACAGUGCGCAAGGCAAUUGAGAAUGGAUACAAAAUGGAAGUCUUGAUAUCCCGACCACGUGUUCAACGACUGAUGUUCUAAAUGGUUAUCGGUGGAUAUCUAUUGAAUGAAGAUGCUGUGGUCAAUGCAUGUACUCUGCCGGUCAUUUACACGUGUAUAAAAACAUGUGAAUAUACAUCUAAAUGGUCUUUUGGUUUUGUGGCAAAAGGAGCCGUAUGGAAAUUAAUACAUGUGGUUGAACAUUUUAGGUUCGACACGGCUACAGUUACGUCCCACGUGCCUAUCCACCACAAAUAUAUGCACAUAGCCCAAUAAAUGCUAAUAAAUGACUACAUUUCAAAUAUUAAAAA